CACAGGCAGCGCACGCGGGACUGCUCCGCGCGCCACAGCGCACUGCCAGAAGAACCCACAUCUGGCGCGAGCGCAUCAGGUGUUCUUCUCCGACAGUAAGCUAUUCUAGUGAGGUGUUGUUUUGCUCGUCGCAUGACUUCCCAGGGAAAUGCCAAAGACCCCUGGAGAAGCGUCCAUAGAAACAGCCCGUGGAACACUUGUGCAGGUCUCCAUGGAAACCCUCUGGGAUUACAGAUUCCUCCAGUUCUAUUAAAAGAAGGAAGACGCUUUGUUCUGUGAAACAGUGCCACCUGCUGGACGCAUGUGGAACGACAGGCUGGGCACGCCGCGCUGCGUGCUGGGAUGGGUUUGGCUCAUUCGGGCACAUUAGCGGGGAUGCAGGAGCCUCCUGAGUGGGAGCCGCUAGCACUUCGGACACACGGGGACCCUUAUCAGCGUCCCCCAACCCGCCUGUGAUUCUCCAGGAGAGAGAGUUUAGUGUGAGACCCGACUGUUACACGCACAAAUACCGAGCCGGAAGUCCUGCAAAAUUAGAGCAAAUCAAAUAAAAAUAAUGCAUAAAUAAUUAUUUUUAAAAAUACAUACAA